GUUGGUUUACCUCAAAAGUAGUUAAAGCUAGCUGAUUUGUAAUCAGCCUGUCGCAAGUUCGAGUCUUGUCACCAGCU
rnacentral:tRNA from 1 species